rnacentral:lncRNA from 1 species
GGCAGCACAGGGGCUGCUGCUUCGCCACCGGCUGCUUCGCUACGAAGGAGUUCCCGUGCUGUGGGAGCAAGUCCAGGACCGCUGUUCAGACCUGAAAGUCCCAGCUGUGUGUCAAGGCUGGAAGGGCUCCGGGGUGCGCGGGGCAAGUGACCGUGUGUAAAAAGGGUGAGGCGUGUGGAGCAGUAGCAAGACGGAAACGUGUGAACUCCUAAUUACCUGGCAUCGGAGAGGACGUUAUGAAGAUCGGCCCUUUCUUCAAAUAAGAGCAGUUGGAACAACAAAAGCUGUUCAGUUGUACCCUUGGAAUCCACGGAAAUCCUGGGUAGGGAAGCUCCAGUACCACCAACUGGAAAGACUGGGAAUGCCUAGUAGCUGGUACUGGCCAUUGUCGUAGGCUUUGUCCACUUUGACAAACUGAAGACGGGGACUCGACUCACCUUCGCCAGCCACAGGAGGACCUCCAGACGAGGACCGGACUCGCCGCCUUUCUUUCCCGUCAGAAAGGGAUCCCUUGCGGACAAGACCGAAUGGCCCCUAAGGCUUCUCUGCAGGUCCAACCGAAACAGGCCUGAAGUUCCAGGAUGGGCGAGAGGAUCCUCUUUGAGCGAAACCAGCCUUCUGCCUGGCUGGCCCUGGUCAACACACUCGGAAGAGGCCGAUUUGGAGGACAGAACGGAAGAAAAGACCUAAAGUAGAUGAUCCUCAUCCAAUCACUUAAAGGCCUGAAUAGAACCAAAAGUCUGACCUGCCCAUGAGUAAGAGAGAGCUCCUUCUGCCUGAUUGCUUCAGCUGAGAUAUCAGCCUUUUCCUGCCUUUGGAAUUGAACUGCAACACUGGCUCUUCCUGGGCCUCAAGCCUGCCAGCUUUUGAACUGUAAUCACACCAUCAUCUCUCCUGGUUCUCAGGCCUUUGGACUCAAAUCAGAAACACACCAUGGGCUCUCCUGUGUCUCAAGCUUGCCAACUGUGAUCUUGAGACUUCUCAGCCUCCAUAAUCACAUGAGUCAAUUGUUGGUUCUGUUUCUCUGGAGAACCCUAAUCCAUCACUUUACAUAUUUCUUCCAUUACACAUAUUGUUUCCCAGCAUAUUAAAUAAUUUACUGAUUAUA